GCCCGCGUAGCGUAAUGGAUAACGCGUUGGCCUCCUAAUAUACGUUACGCAAUAGAUAUAGGAGCGAGCCAAAGAUUGCGGGUUCGAGUCCCGCCGUGGGUA
rnacentral:tRNA from 1 species